UACGAAGGGGGCUAGCGUUGCUCGGAAUCACUGGGCGUAAAGGGCGCGUAGGCGGCACGGCAAGUCAGGAGUGAAAGCCCUGGGCUCAACCCGGGAACUGCUUUUGAAACUGCCGAGCUAGAGUGCGGAAGGGGCAACUGGAAUUCCCAGUGUAGCGGUGAAAUGCGUAGAUAUUGGGAAGAACACCUGAGGCGAAGGCGGGUUGCUGGGCCGACACUGACGCUGAGGCGCGAAAGCCAGGGGAGCGAACGGG
rnacentral:rRNA from 1 species